GGGCACUGGCAUCAGGCAGCUCUGGUACCAAGCAGUACUGGCACCAGGCCUGAGGGAGAAGGGGCACUGGCAUCAUGCAGCUCUGGUACCAAGCAGUACUGGCACCAGGCCUGAGGGAGAUAGGGCACUGACACAGGGCGAGGGAGACAAUCCACUGGCACAGAUGAGUCCUUUCAACCAUAUUGGAAGAAGAAGAGUAAGUUACCAGUGAAGAAGUGCAAUAUUAAGGAUGUGAAGAAACAAUCUGGACAAAACCAUGACCGGAAACCAAAGUCAAACUUGGAAAGGGAAGAUUUUCCCCACCAUGUAUCGAUGUCAGUAUAAGGGUUGCUGUGCUGUUUACAGAGGAGUUGAGGGACUUAAGAAACACAUAAAAGAGCAGCAUGAAGAGGUGUGUGAAAGACCUUGCCCCCACCCAGGAUGUUCUAGGUGUUUCUGAUUGAUCGCUACCUGCAGUGCCAUGUAAAGCUGAUCCAUACAGAAGAAAGAACAUCUUUAUAGAUCAGGAGGAAGUGCAAAGCCUUUGGUCACAACUUCGGAAAGACAAACCACAUUUGAUCAACAAUCUUGAAGCAUUUUGAGCUCUAUCGUAUGACCAAGGAUUUAGAGAGAGAGAAGCUGAACAUUUUGAAACAGAUGGACAUCUUGAAAGAGAUUAUGCAUAACCCUAUCGAGGAAGACAAUGACUCAGAACUGGUGAGUAAUCAGUGUGAUGACAAUCAGGACAUUGAUGAGGAU